UCUUACGGGAGGCAGCACUGGGGAAUAUUGCACAAUGGGCGCAAGCGUGAUGCAAACAUGCCGCGUGUAUGAAGAAGCCCUUGGUGUUGUAAAGCACUUUCAGCGGGGAGGAAGAAAACAAGGUUAAUACCCUUGUCGAUUGUCGUUCAGACAGAAGAAGCACCGGAAGAUUCCGUGCCAGCAGCCGCGGUA
rnacentral:rRNA from 1 species